rnacentral:tRNA from 2 species
CGGGCUGUGGCGCAGUUUGGUCAGCGCACCUGCUUUGGGAGCAGGGGGUCGCCGGUUCAAAUCCGGCCAGCCCGA